rnacentral:misc_RNA from 1 species
GAUGAAGAACGCAGUGAAAUGCGAUACUUGGUGUGAAUUGCAGAAUCCCGUGAACCAUCGAGUUUUUGAACGCAAGUUGCGCCCGAAGCCAUUAGGCCGAGGGCACGCCUGCCUGGGCGUCACACGUCGUUGCCCCCCCAUCUACUCCUUCGGGAUUGCGGGGGGCGGAUGAUGGCCUCCCGUGCGCCUCGUCGCGCGGUUGGCAUAAAUGCCAAGUCCUCGGCGACGCACGCCACGACAAUCGGUGGUUGCGAAACCUCGGUUGCCCGUCGUGUGCGGUCGUCGCGCAUCGAGGGCUCGAAAAAAUUGUCGGGCUCCGGCUCGGCUUUCAACGCGACCCCAGGUCAGGCGGGGUUACCCGCUGAAUUUAAGCAUAUCAAUAAGCGGAGGA